rnacentral:rRNA from 1 species
UGAGUAACACGUAUCCAACCUGCCGUCUACUCUUGGCCAGCCUUCUGAAAGGAAGAUUAAUCCAGGAUGGCAUCAUGAGUUCACAUGUCCGCAUGAUUAAAGGUAUUUUCCGGUAGACGAUGUGGAUGCGUUCCAUUAGAUAGUAGGCGGGGUAACGGCCCACCUAGUCAACGAUGGAUAGGGGUUCUGAGAGGAAGGUCCCCCACAUUGGAACUGAGACACGGUCCAA